CGCUGGCGGCGUGCCUAAUACAUGCAAGUCGAACGGUCUUUCUAUGGAAGCUUGCUUCCACUGAGAAGAUAGUGGCGAACGGGUGAGUAACACGUGGGUAACCUGCCCAUAAGAGGGGGAUAACAUCCGGAAACGGGUGCUAAUACCGCAUAGUUUUCUUGAUCGCAUGAUUGAGAAAGGAAAGAUGGCCUUUGUGCUGUCGCUUAUGGAUGGACCCGCGGCGUAUUAGUUAGUUGGUGAGGUAACGGCUCACCAAGACGAUGAUACGUAGCCGACCUGAGAGGGUGAUCGGCCACAUUGGGACUGAGACACGGCCCAAACUCCUACGGGAGGCAGCAGUAGGGAAUAUUCCGCAAUGGACGAAAGUCUGACGGAGCGACGCCGCGUGGAUGAAGAAAGGCCGGAAGGUUGUAAAAUCCUUUUGCUGAUGAAGAAUAAGUGUGGUAGGGAAUGACCGCAUGAUGACAUUAGUCGGUGAAUAAGCCCCGGCUAACUACGUGCCAGCCGCCGC
rnacentral:rRNA from 1 species